AGUCAAACCUUUUCGAAAGAACUUAUAACUGCACACGUGCAGUUCUCUGUUCGAGGUAGUGACUAAUCAAGGGGACAAGCUAUUGAGGAAUAGCACGAGAAAGAGCAAUAACAGGUCUGUGAUGCCCUUAGAUGUUCUGGGCCGCACACGCGCUACAAUAGUUUAGUCAUCAAGUUAUCCGUUUUGACAAAGACGGGCAAACUUAGCAAACUAAACUGUAGUCGGGAUGGGAACUUGCAAUUAUUUUCCCUGAACUAGGAAUUCCUAGUAAGCGCAAGUCAACAGCUUGUGUUGAAUUAGUCCCUGCCACUUGUACACACCGCCCGUCGCUACUACCGAUCGGAUUUAUUAGUGAGAACUAAAGAGACAGAACGCGCUGGCUUAUUUGUUAGCAGUUCGGUUGAAUUAGCUUAAACUGAUAUUUCUAGAGGAAGUAAAAGUCGUAACAAGGUAUCCCGUAAGGUGA
rnacentral:rRNA from 1 species